rnacentral:misc_RNA from 1 species
GAUGAAGAACGUAGCGAAAUGCGAUACGUAAUGUGAAUUGCAGAAUUCAGUGAAUCAUCAAAUCUUUGAACGCAUAUUGCGCUCUCUGGUAUUCCGGAGAGCAUGCUUGUUUGAGUAUCAGUAAACACCUCAACUUCCAUAUCUUUUUUGAAAUGGGAGUUGGACUUGAGAGAUCCCAACGCUUUUCCUCACCGAAAAGUGGCGGGUUACUUGAAAUGCAGGUGCAGCUGGACUUUUCUCUGAGCUAUAAGCAUAUCUAUUUAGUCUGCCUAAAAAACAGAUUAUUACCUUUGCUGCAGCUAACAUAAAGGAGAUUAGUUCUUGUGCUGACUGAUGCAGGAUUCACAAAGACGGCUUCGGCCGACUUUGUAAACUCGAUCUCAAAUCAAGUAAGACUACCCGCUGAACUUAAGCAUAUCAAUAAGCGGAGGA